UAGAUAAUAAACAGAGAGUAGCAGCAGUGUACAUGUAGGUAGGGGUGAAGUGACUAUGGAUAGAUAAUGAGUAGCAGCAGUGUACAUGUAGGUAGGGGUGAAGUGACUAUGGAUAGAUAAUAAACAGAGAGUAGCAGCAGUGUACAUGUAGGUAGGGGUGAAGUGACUAUGGAUAGAUAAUAAACAGAGAGUAGCAGCAGUGUACAUGUAGGUAGGGGUGAAGUGACUAUGGAUAGAUAAUAAACAGAGAGUAGCAGCAGUGUACAUGUAGGUAGGGGUGAAGUGACUAUGGAUAGAUAAUAAACAGUGACUAGCAGCAGUGUACAUGUAGGUAGGGGUGAAGUGACUAUGGAUAGAUAAUAAACAGAGAGUAGCAGCAGUGUACAUGUAGGUAGGGGUGAAGUGACUAUGUAUAGAUAAUAAACAGAGAGUAGCAGCAGUGUACAUGUAGGUAGGGGUGAAGUGACUAUGGAUAGAUAAUAAACAGUGACUAGCAGCAGUGUACAUGUAGGUAGGGGUGAAGUGACUAUAUGGAUAGAUAAUAAACAGUGACUAGCAGCAGUGUACAUGUAGGUAGGGGUGAAGUGACUAUGGAU